rnacentral:rRNA from 1 species
GAUGAACGCUGGUGGCGUGCCUAACACAUGCAAGUCGAGCGAUUCUCUUCGGAGAAGAGCGGCGGACGGGUGAGUAACGCGUGGGUAACCUGCCCUGUACACACGGAUAACAUACCGAAAGGUAUGCUAAUACGAGAUAACAUGCUUUUAUCGCAUGGUAGAAGUAUCAAAGCUUUUGCGGUACAGGAUGGACCCGCGUCUGAUUAGCUAGUUGGUGAGGUAACGGCUCACCAAGGCGACGAUCAGUAGCCGACCUGUGAGGGUGAUCGGCCACAUUGGAACUGAGACACGGUCCAAACUCCUACGGGAGGCAGCAGUGGGGAAUAUUGCACAAUUGGCGAAAGCCUGAUGCAGCAACGCCGCGUGAGCGAUGAAGGCCUUCGGGUCGUAAAGCUCUGUCCUCAAGGAAGAUAAUGACGGUACUUGAGGAGGAAGCCCCGGCUAACUACGUG